UUGACCUCGGAUCAGGUAGGGAUACCCGCUGAACUUAAGCAUAUCAAUAAGCGGAGGAAAAGAAACCAACCGGGAUUGCCUCAGUAACGGCGAGUGAAGCGGCAAGAGCUCAAAUUUGAAAGCUGGCUCCUUCGGGGUCCGCAUUGUAAUUUGCAGAGGAUGCUUCGGGUGCAGCCCCCGUCUAAGUGCCCUGGAACGGGCCGUCAUAGAGGGUGAGAAUCCCGUA
rnacentral:rRNA from 1 species